AUUCCACCGAGAAUAAAAGCCUCCAGUAACGAGUCCAGACGAGGUCAAUCAGUUUCCCUGCAGUGCACCUCAUUCUGCACCUUCCAAGACCUGAAUGUCACCUGGUUCAGAGAUGGCCACGCCCUCCCAGAGUCUGGACACGCCCUCCAGCUCGGCCCUCUGACCGCAGGGGAUUCUGGGAACUACACCUGCGUUCUGAGCAUGGACGCGAGGAUAUGGUCUGACCCGUUCAGCCUGCAGGUGGAGGACGGAGACGGAGACAGAGACGGAGACGGUGCUGAUGGUGGAAAUCACCUGGUGCUGAUUGUCCGCCUGCUUGUGUUCGGUCUGAUCACCUUGAUCGUCGUCGCGGUUGCAUCCGUCGUCAUCUGGAGGACCUGCCGUUGUCAUGGCAGCAGCAGAGAGA